ACUCGAGUGGCGAACGGGUGAGUAACACGUGGGUGAUCUGCCCUGCACUUCGGGAUAAGCUUGGGAAACUGGGUCUAAUACCGGAUAGGAGCCAUCUUUAGUGUGGUGGUUGGAAAGUUUUUCGGUGUAGGAUGAGCUCGCGGCCUAUCAGCUUGUUGGUGGGGUGAUGGCCUACCAAGGCGACGACGGGUAGCCGGCCUGAGAGGGUGAUCGGCCACAUUGGGACUGAGAUACGGCCCAG
rnacentral:rRNA from 1 species